UACGUAGGGUGCAAGCGUUUAUCCGGAAUUAUUGGGCGUAAAGAGCUCGUAGGCGGUUUGUCGCGUCUGCUGUGAAAACUGGAGGCUCAACCUCCAGCCUGCAGUGGGUACGGGGCAAACUAGAGUGCGGUAGGGGAGAUUGGAAUUCCUGGUGUAGCGGUGGAAUGCGCAGAUAUCAGGAGGAACACCGAUGGCGAAGGCAGAUCUCUGGGCCGUAACUGACGCUGAGGAGCGAAAGCAUGGGGAGCGAACAGG
rnacentral:rRNA from 1 species